rnacentral:tRNA from 2 species
ACGCUUUUAGUUCAGUCGGUAGAACGUAGGUCUCCAAAACCUGAUGUCGUAGGUUCAAGUCCUACAGAGCGUG